CCCUACACUCAAACUAAUUUCAUGAUAGAAUGUAAGUGCUGAAAGCACAUAGAUUACGAACGAGAGAGAAAAAAAUCAUUCUAUGUGCGACUAAUGAAAAUUAAAACUUGAUUUAUUAAAUUACAUUCUUCCAAUAAUACAUUUAGAGUGUAGCAACAUAAAAAGCAACCCUGUCAACAUUAAAAUCUAAACACAAACAUAACAAACGCGAAACGAAGUUGGCGCGCGAAGAAGACGCAUUACGACUCGGAGUUUCGAGAUUUCUUUUCCAACGGAGCCUCGCGUGGUGCUUUGAAGCAUUAAAUUCGUCGUCCGAGUUGCUUGCUGUUUUGAAGAAUCACCGUCACGGAGGACAAAUGCGGAAACAACUUGGGAGCUGCCGGAAAAAGCUGAAACUGGAACAUGCUUUUUGACCGGAUAACAGCCUGAUGGAAGCUCUCUUCGGCGGAAGCCAACACUUCGUCGGGCGUGGGUCACUGUCGACCAUCAUUGGACGUAGCACUAACCUCCCCAAAACUACAAGCACUUCAAUGCAACCGGUGGUUUUUCCAGUUCCUCCGAACGGUAAAGGACCUCGAGUCCUCGACACGCCCUGCACGUCAUCACUCUUUGGCUCACCCCAACCUGGGAGUACAACUUCGCGCUGCUGGAAAUGGCUCCUUCCACCAUGAAAGAAAGGUAAGCGAAUGGGUGUUCUGGCCAUAGGUCUGCAAUGGCCAAGGCCAUAAAACAUUAUAUAUACUAGAUUAUGUACACAAAGUCUUAUAAAUAAAUCUUUUUCAAAACAAUCGUCAAUGGUUCCCUUUAUUUACUGUAGAAUAAAAAAUCAAGUAUGGCUCAAUCUGUGAUCGAAUUCGAUCGCAGAUUAUUCAAAAUUUUGGUUUAUUUUCAUUUCAAACCCAACCUCUAAAGAAAAAAAAACAUCAUUGUUAUUUAUAGAAACUAUGCGCCUAACGAUUAAAAUACUAUAAAUUGAACCAUAAAAUGCAAAAAGUUUGCACAUAAAUUUCAUCUUGACUGAAUUGACAAAGUUUCGAUAGGGCUGCACUUAUUUUUCAAGUGCAAAAGCUAUUGGUCAGAAUCCAAGUGCAGGGCACUUAUAUUCAAUAUGUUAAUUAUUCUGAGUGUACUUCACAUGCAUGUCUUCACACACCAUAUUGUGGCUUUGGUAUAAAACUAAUGUUAAAAAUCAAAAUUUAUGCUAUGUUCUCACUGCGCUCUAUAAUGCGUGAUGACCUUAAUGAUGACAUCUUAUAUCAAGAAAGGCGUUGUAAUUCCUCCAAGAGUCUGAAAUCCCUUCAAGAGUUUCUUCUGGGAUUCCUCCAGUUUUUUUUUUGUGAUUCCUGACAAAGCUUCAUAACAAAUUUAUUAAGUUCACCGGGAAGUCUCUUCAGACAUUCCUACAGAAGUACCUCGGGAAUUACUUUCCAAGUUUCCAGAUAUACUUCUCCAGGAGUCUUCGAGAAAUUCUCCAGGAGUUUCUCGGGAAUUCGUCCAUGGCUUCCCCAAGAAUACCAUGCGAAUUCCUUAAGAACCUUCGCAGAAUUCUUGCAGCAUUUGAGGUAGAAUUCCUCCAGGAUUACGCAGGGAAUUUCUCCAUGAUUUUACUGAAAAUAUUAACAUAAAUUAUUCGAAAAUUCCCUCCUGAACUUCCAUGAAAUUUACUUUGAGUUUCCCAAGAAGUCUUCCAACAAUAAUGCAUGGUUUCCUCUGGAUUUCCCUCGAAUAUUUCAAGGGUUUUCCAAAAAUGCCUCAAGAAGUUCCUCGGAUUUAUUUCUACAAAAAAUCCUUCAGAAUAUCCUCGCGAAUUCAUCCAGGAAUCCCUUGGAAAUUGCUCCAAAAGUUCCUUGGAAAUUCCACCAUCAGUUCUUUAGAAAUUCCUGCAAAAAUUCCAGGCAAUUUCAACAAAAGUCCCAGAGAGUGUAAUGUAUCUUGGAGCUCUACACGCUAAGAUCAGUUUACCCAUAAAUGGGUAGUUCAUUAACCCAUAUUUGGGUUUCAUAUCCAUUACCCAUAAUAUGGGUAAAAUAUACCUUCGAAAAACGGUAAAUUUUACCCAUAUUAUAGGUAAAAUCGCUAUACCCAAAUAUGGGUAAAUGAACUUACCCAUAUUUGGAUGAAAAUUUUCAAGUUAGCAACUUUUCUCGGAAUGCAUUAGAGCACCUUUAACGGUGCGCUUCUAUACCCCGUUUGGCAGCCCUCCAUCAUUGCAGCAAACUUUACCGGUCGCUGCUGGAUGCGCUCGCAAAAUAAUAGCGCUAUGGGUGGGUGACCAAAUAUAGUAGCGGGACUGUUGCGCUGCUAAAAAUUCUAUGGGAAUAUGACAGCCCUCCCGAUACGAAUCAGGGUGACUAAUUUGAUUGCUACCGGUGUGGAAAAGGGUGGUUAAGUCAAAAUGGUAGCGCUGCGCGGGUUGCUCGAAUAGUAGCCCCCGUUAAUGUUGCUCUUAGUGCGCCAUCAUAACACUAUCGGGAAAUUUUAGAUAUUUUGAUUUCCACGGCACCGCCAGCCAAUCGAGGUCCUUCAGCAUCAGGUUUAAUGACCGAUACCGCGUCCAUCGGAUUCCCACGCGAGUUAGAGUUGAGGUUCCCAUAUACAUUGAUAUUUUGAUCGGGUUUGGUACACGAAGAUAAUGCAGGAGCAACAAAUCAUCAUGUAGAGCUACAAGAAAGGCUACAAAAGCAUGGAAUUUGCAGUUCCGACUGCACCAAGGCUUCAACCGCCGGAAGAACGGGGAACGGAAGAACAACUGCCCGAUGAACAACAGCCGGAGGGGAAAAUUACAUACAUGGGUCGUUAUGAAAACUUCAAAGAGCUCCGUCUCGGAACGUCUGUUUUCCAGGAGGAAAAUGAUUUAAGAGUAUUUGAAAUAUGUAAAAAUUUAUUUAUUAUUUUCGUUUAACAAUUAGAUUGCAAUAAACUACAAAAUAUGUGCAAAAUUUUGUAUAAAUUUAUUGAUAAAUACAAAAUAGUUAACAGUUCAAAAAUAUAAGAAAAGUCGAAAAGUAAACACGGUGAAAUUACUCAUUUAUGAGUAAAUCGAUUUACUCAUUUUUUACAAAAAGCACUUUACCCAUAUAUGAGUAAUGGGCCUUUACCCAUAAAAUGCGAAUGUGCACUUUUCAGCGAUUAUGGGUAAAGUUUACCCAUAUUUGAGUAAACUGACCUUAGCGUGUAAGGAAAUUCCUUAAUGAG